rnacentral:lncRNA from 1 species
AGGAGAUAUACCUAAUGCUAGAUGAUGAGUUAGUGGGUUCAGCGCACCAGCAUGGCACAUGUAUACAUAUGUAACUAACCUGCACAAUGUGCACAUGUACCCUAAAACUUAAAGUAUAAUAAUAAAAAAAAAAAGUCAAAAAAAAAAAAAAAAGAUAAUUUCCUCCCCCAGGGAAAUCCACACACCAAGUAUGUAUAAAACAGUGGUUGGGACAUUUGUCAAUGGCUGAUCACUGAGGAGGUGCUAGUGGAAACCACUCAGUAGAGGUCGGAAAUUGUGACAAACAUCCAGCAGUGCACAGGCGAGUGCCUGUUUCUGCUCCCCACUAGCAAAGAAUUAUCUAUUGUACAAUUUUGAUAUUGCUGCUGUUACUAACACUUUAUAAAGGGAUCUUUACAUUGUGUAGAAGUUGAAAUAGAUAAUACCUAAGAUCCCAGCAAGAUUCAAUUGCAGGACUCAAAAAUGCUAUUAUUUCAGUUUUCUAACACACUUGGAUUCUGACCUUUAACAAUUCUAUGAUCCCAAGAUUAUAGGAAACCUAUAAGGUUUUAAGUGAUAUGAUUCUAAGAAGCCACAAUUCUAAAUUUCUAAGAUUCUAUUUAUUAUUGUAAGGUUUCUUUCAGUAUAAGACUGCUUUUCUAAGCUUCUAUGAUGUUAAGAUCUUGAGAGGCUUUUUAUCUUAGAUUGUAAGGUAUCUUGAGGUUAUGUUUCUAAUAAGCUCUAUCUCAAGAAACAGGGCUGCUUUUAUUCUAAGAUAACGAAUGCUGCAGUUCUAAGAUGCUAACGCAUCGUAAUGUACGUUUCUAGAUUUAUGUAUCCAGAACACGGAAAUGUACUGUGUUGAGGUGAGGUGUUAGUCUAUAUCCCAUAGCUUAGAUUCCCAAACUGUUUGAUCUGGUUUUAUAAUCGACAAGCAAUGUUUGAGGAAUAAGAUGGGCAUUGAAAUGCUUCUUUCAGUAAAGGAAAGUUUAGUAGCUAUGAUAGAAUAUAGAGUUGCUGGCCCAGUUUUAACUAAGUUCAUGUUCUUGGAUAUAAAGAGGACACUAACAUUUAUAUCCAUUACCUUGAAAAAGCAUAUCUCAUGGGAUACACUUAUAAGGUAACUUUAUUUUUAUCUCCUGUUUUCCCUUUACAUUUAUUCUGCAGUGAUGGUUAUGUUCUGCCCCUGGAUUGCAUUUAGGGUACUGUGAAGAAAGCAACAUGUUCUCAUUUUACAGAAGAGCAUAUUUACCCUCAGAGAAGUGUGGUAACUUGCCUGAGGAUAUAUGGAUAGUAACCAGCUAAGAUGUCAGACUAGUGUUUCUUUCAAAUACAACAUAUGCUGAGACAUAACAGAUGGCUUUUUUUGUUCAAGAUAAUUUAAUAUCCAUCAGUCCUUUGUCCUUCAUUCAUCCAAUUCAUUUGUUGACUCAUGCCACAUGUAUUUCCUGAACACCCAAAAUUGUCUCGUACAGAACUCUCACUCAUUCCCUCAGGCAUCGUUUUCAUCCAGAAGCCUCCUAGACCUAUAUUGGGCAAGCAACAUGUUGCAACGUACAUGUCUUGUUUGUGUUUUUGUCAUGCCUGUCAUAGCAUGUAGUGCCUGUGGUAACCUUCAGGAAACAUGUUUAUAUGAAACAAUAACUGGGGACCCAGGUGACUGACUCAAAACUUUCAUCAUUAAGUGAGUCAUGAUAGAUUUGGGAAAGACAGGCAAGUAAAAAUAUAUUACAAAACACUAUGGUGAGAAGUCAAAGAAGAUGAAAGAACACGCAGAAAGUACAUAAAGAGGCCUUGCUGAAAGGCCAAUCACAUGCUUUCACAUUGUGUAGAUGAGAACAGAAAGGUCACUCCAGCUGCCAGAGAGAGACACUUGUUCUUGAAGAAAGAACAAAAUUAAAAUCCUGAACCUCUCAUCCUACUUGUUGUCAGGUACACUGCACUGAUUACUUACAUUUCUUGACUGUAAGAGGCUUUGACAAGCAACAAGUGUGAAACAUGCUGGAAGUUGAUUAUUCUAUUGAAUUGGCUCUAGAUAAGUUGGAUAAAUGAAAGGCAUGCUGCUUGCCUCUGAAAUCCAGGCUGAGGAAAUAAAGUGGAAUUGGCAAAUACAACAUUUCGAAUGAACUCCAGUCACCACCUUCAAAGACAGCAGAGUCAAACCAAUGCAUCAAGUUCAUAGUAGAAUCCAAGGCGCUCAGUGCAUAUUAAUUGGCAGUGUCACUCCUGAAUCCACAUUACAUACAAAUAUGUUGAAUCUCAAUUCCCACUCAACACACAUUUAUUAAAACCUGGCUCUUCAUUUAUUUAUGCAUUCAGCACUUGUUGUACAAAUGUUUUCUGUGCCCAGAUUAUGCUUGAGACUAUAGAAACAGGGUCGAGCUUAGCCAACAUUGCCCCACCCUGAGGAAGCUCCUCAUCUAGUGAAUGAUCUCACAUAAGCAUUCACACAAAUAAUCAGUUUAGAUUUUGAUAAAAAAUACUAAGAAGAAAAUGUACAAAGUGUGAAAAGAAUGUACAAUUAGAGGCCUGGAGGUCAGUGGAUUUCUCCCUGAGGAAGGGAUGUUUAGGAAAGGACAUGAAGGUGAGUUGGAGGAAACCAGGUAAUAAGAUGGGCUGUCUAUUUAGGAGAAACCUCCAUCAUCUGCCACAGUGCUGGUGACUGUGUGUAGGGAGGGAGAGAAAGAGACUAACAAGACCCGUGAUAAGCCAUUGUGAUGGCUAAUAUUGAGCGUCAACUUGAUUGGAUUGAGGUAUACAAAGUAUUGUUCCUGGGUGUGUCCGUGAGGGUGCUGCCAAAGGAGAUUAACAUUUGAGUCAGUGGACUGGGAGAGGCAGACCCACCUUCAGUCUGGGUUGGCACAGUCUAAUCAGUUGCCACAGUGGCUAGAAUAAAAGCAGGCAGAAUAAUUUGGAAGGACUAAACUGGACAAGUCUUCUGGCCUUCAUCUUUCUCCCUUGCAGGAUGCUUCCUGCCCUCGAACAUCAGACUCCAAGUUCUUCAGCUUUUGGAAUCUUGGGCUUAUACCAAUGGUUUGCUAGGGGCUGUUGGGCUUUCAGCCACAGACUGAAGGCUGCACUGUCAGUUUCCCUACUUUUGAGGUUUUGAGACUAGGGCUGGCUUCCUUGUUCCUCAGCUUGCAGAUGGCCUAUUAUGGGACAUCACCUGGUGGCUGUGUGAGUCAAUUAUCUGUAAUAAACUCCCUUUCAUGUAUACAUCUAUCCUAUUAGUCCUGUCCCUCUAGAGAAUACCGGCCAAUACAUCCAUAUCAGUCAUACCAAUACAUCCAUGUCAGUCAUAAUGACCAAUACAUCCAUAUCAGUCAUAACGCUUUUACAGGCCACAUUGGAAAUUAUGAAAAAAUUAAUGAAAGGGUGAAUAAUACAAAAGUUUCUCUCUCUCUCUCUCUUUCGCUAUUUUAAGCUCCAGCUUUUUCCUGAUUCUGAGUCUGGCAUUCCUUGCAGUCACAAGAGGGCUACCAAAAGCAGAGAAUGUGCUUCUAUGUUCAUAUUCAAGAUGACAGCACAGAGGCAUCUCCCCAGACAUAGACUGUUGGACCUAUCAUUCAGUUCUCCUGGUCUAAUUAAGUCAUUCCUAUCAUAAGGGAAUAUAAUGCACUGAAUGGUUUAGAACAAUAAGGGGCUACACUUGGAAGCAGAGCAUGAAGCCAACAUCCACUAGAAAGGACAGAGGUGAAACAGAAGCAAAGCUCUGGAAAGACAGAAGCAGCAGGAUGUGUGAUACAGGUGCUGAGGUACCUGCCAUUAGUGUCACUACAUCAAUGAGCCCAGAGAAGCCCAGAGGAGACUCAUGGUCAGCCCAUGGCUGGAUUAGGACAUUAGGGCAUCAGCUUUGGUCUUGAAAAGAUCUGGAUUCUAUUGCUGUUCUUCCACCUGCUAGCUGUAACAACUAGAGUAACAACUCAGCAUCUCAUUCUCAGCUUGAUCAUCUUUAAAACAGGGAAAAUAAUUACAAGUGUAUGGUAGGUUGUUUUUUUAACCAUUAUGGUACAUUUUUUGAUAAAAAAAAUAUGGUAUAAAAAAACAUAUGGUAUGUUUUUCGAUAAUACAAUGAUACAGAUAAUAGAUAAUGUACUUGAUACAUAACACACAAUCAAUGUAUGUUCUUCCUUCCUCGUGCCUUUCAUCCAUCCUGUCCCAGAAAAGGGGGAAAAAUUAAUUCUCAUAUAAAGUCAUAGUGAAGCUAUGAAGGUUCAGUGGCAAAAGUGGGUUAAAAAAACUGGGAGAGGAGGUCGUGCAGAGAGUGACGCUUUCACGUGACGCUGGUGAUACAGCAGCACAACUUAACAUUGAGGAACAGAAAGACAGGCAGGAUGUCUGGUGUGGAUGCAGAGGAUGUAUGUGGUUGAGGUGAGAGAUGUAGGGCAGAGCAGAAAUGUAUCUGGUCUGUUUAAGAACGGUCACCUUCCUGGACUCAGAAUCAGCCUUUCUUUUGAACGCUAAGGCCUCUUACCAUAUCAAGUUCACUGUGUCCUUUUCUUCAGCAGGAAUUCCCUUUCGGGAGGUUCCUCAAGGCUCAUGCAAAGAGGCUGCAUGUAGGCCAGCCCUGCCAGUUCACCCAAGUGCCCAGGCAUGCAUCAGUGCUACCUAGACUCACCCAAGAGGUCACUGUAGGAGCAGGAUGUGCUUAAGCAAAGGUAACAAAGACUGACUCAACAACGGCAUGCAAUGCGGUUUCUUUAGUGUCACUGCCAAUUAUGGAAACAGAAUCUGAUUUUGCUCGUUUCAACAAUUCUGAAAAAUAAAUAAUAAGGUCACACACUAAAGGAGAGCAGAAAACAUGGGGAGAAAACAGAAUUCUAAAGAUAACACUCUCAUGAAAUCCAGAGGGGUUGGGAAUCUUUUCUGUGUGAAGGGGGUUAAGGAAUGAAAGUAGAAAUGUAAUAUGGCCCUCAGGGUUUGCUUUUGGAACAGGCUGGAACAUUGUAAAUGUAUUUUGUGAAGCGGGGAAUGGGAGAAGUGCAACAUAGCAUAUUUGGGGAAAAGUAGGUAGCUCAAAAUUGCUGGAACAUAUGUUUUGCAUAGGGGCUUUCAGGAGAUGAGGCUGCAGACUCAUAGGCAUUAGGAAAUAAACAGGCUCUUCUCCCAUACUAAGAUGUUUGCCCUUUAUGCUGAAGGUGAAACAGAAUCUCAGGAUGUCUCUAAAGUAGGGACAUAUUAUUUAUAUUUUUGAAAGAUCAUUCUAGCUGCGUAGGAAAAAUAAAUUCAGUGACUACAGACAGAGAAUAGAUUUCUGUAAAGAUCUGAAUGAGAAGAAACAUCAUCCUGAAAAUAGGAAGAAAUAAGGAAUGGCAGGAAAUGAAGCUGGAGAAAUGGGAUGAGCAGAUAACAAAGGGACUCCUCUGCCAUCUUAAGUGACUUCUGUUUGAAAAGUCAGAAAAGCUUGAGGUUGGGAAAAACAGGCUGUGGUCAUGGUGAGCGUCAGUGAAUCCAUUGUUUGUGUAGACAUGUUCCUUGGUUCGGGUGUUGAAAGUGGAGCCCGGACUCCAUGUGGGUAUCUGCCUGAGACUCCGUUACCUGAAGCUGAGAAGACAAGAAAGAAAAGGGAUGUAUUGAGAGUUAAAUUUUUCUGAAAGGGAUGAUGGGUUUCUGUUUUGAAAGUCUGAUCUGACUGUGAGGAAAUCAGUAAUAAAAUUUCCAUAUUAUUCACAUUUCUGGCAUUUAUGUUGCUGAGCAUGAUUAUUUGCAUUUCAGUUCUGACACAUGAAAUUUCGUGGUAUUAUGGGCUGAACUGUGUUCUUCCAAAAUUCAUAUGUUAAUGUUCUAACCCCCAAUACCUCAGAUUGUUUAGAGAUAGGUAAGGCCUUCAAAAAAUAAUUAAGUUAAAAUGAGGCCAUUAGGGUGGGCCCUCAUUCAAUAUGAUUGUAUCUUUAUAAGAAGAGACAAUUAGGACACAGAUAUGCACAGAGACACCAUCACCAUCUGAGGACACUGGCAGAAGAAAGCCGAGGAGAGAAGCUUCAGAAAUCAACCCUCUACUGGCACCUUGAUCGCUUCCCUCCAGCCUCCGGAGUGGUGAGA